rnacentral:lncRNA from 1 species
UCAACUACAAAACUCAGCUAGAUUGAUUUGUACAGCAAAUUGCAAAGAAGAUUACUUAUAUCAAUCAAUAAGUGUAAAAGGAUGUGGCCAGUUUGAUACAUCAGACUUUUUAUGUUCAGUCAGGAUAUGGCCAGAUCGAUUCAUCACAAUAAAUUCCAGUGGAAAGGGCACUCCGAACCAACAAAAACAUGAACCGUGAUACGGCUGGCCGGUUGUAGAUCGCCACUGGCAAAUAUCUCCUGGUUAAGUGAAGCGUGUAUCAGCACUACACUGAAAAUAUCAAAUGUGAAGCAACACUACACUGAAAAAAAUAUACUGGACCUCGUGAGAUACUGAGAGAACAGAAUCACAAGCAUCAACUUAGAGGAUCAGAGAGAUACAUGGUGAAAGUUAGUCGGCUUGAUGGCGAGGGCCUCACCGUAUAGGUGGCCACCGUCGAAGUGGGGGAUCAGAGUCAGCCGCGACGGAAGCCGAGUUCAGCGACGACGGCGGAGGAGCGGAGGGUCGGCGGCAGAGGCCGACUGGAGCGGGGGGUGACGGGCAAUUGGAGCGGCGGCGGAGUGGAGGAUCGGCGAGUGGCGGUGGUAGCCCGUGCUGGCGCGUCCACUGGGCAACACAGAAGGAGCGGGCGGCGGCAGAGGCCGACUGGAGCGGGCAGCGACGGGCGAUUAGAGCGGCGGCAGCAACCCGUGCCGGCGCGUCCGCUGGGCAAGGAGCGGGCGGCGCACCGUGCACAGGAGGAGAGGGCGGAGGUUACACAGGAGAAGCAGGAUAGAGAUCGUGGUUCGUUCGUGCGGA